rnacentral:rRNA from 1 species
UACGUAGGUGGCGAGCGUUGUCCGGAUUUAUUGGGCGUAAAGAGCGUGUAGGCGGCCUUACAGGUCAGCUGUGAAAACUCGAGGCUCAACCUCGAGACGUCGGUUGAAACCGUAUGGCUAGAGUCCGGAAGAGGAGAGUGGAAUUCCCGGUGUAGCGGUGAAAUGCGCAGAUAUCGGGAAGAACACCCGUGGCGAAGGCGGCUCUCUGGGACGGUACUGACGCUGAGACGCGAAAGCGUGGGGAGCGAACAGG